GACAGCCAGGAUGUUGGCUUAGAAGCAGCCAUCAUUUAAAGAAAGCGUAAUAGCUCACUGGUCGAGUCGGCCUGCGCGGAAGAUGUAACGGGGCUAAACCAUGCACCGAAGCUGCGGCAGCGACGCUUAUGCGUUGUUGGGUAGGGGAGCGUUCUGUAAGCCUGCGAAGGUGUGCUGUGAGGCAUGCUGGAGGUAUCAGAAGUGCGAAUGCUGACAUAAGUAACGAUAAAGCGGGUGAAAAGCCCGCUCGCCGGAAGACCAAGGGUUCCUGUCCAACGUUAAUCGGGGCAGGGUGAGUCGACCCCUAAGGCGAGGCCGAAAGGCGUAGUCGAUGGGAAACAGGUUAAUAUUCCUGUACUUGGUGUUACUGCGAAGGGGGGACGGAGAAGGCUAUGUUGGCCGGGCGACGGUUGUCCCGGUUUAAGCGUGUAGGCUGGUUUUCCAGGCAAAUCCGGAAAAUCAAGGCUGAGGCGUGAUGACGAGGCACUACGGUGCUGAAGCAACAAAUGCCCUGCUUCCAGGAAAAGCCUCUAAGCAUCAGGUAACAUCAAAUCGUACCCCAAACCGACACAGGUGGUCAGGUAGAGAAUACCAAGGCGCUUGAGAGAACUCGGGUGAAGGAACUAGGCAAAAUGGUGCCGUAACUUCGGGAGAAGGCACGCUGAUAUGUAGGUGAAGUCCCUCGCGGAUGGAGCUGAAAUCAGUCGAAGAUACCAGCUGGCUGCAACUGUUUAUUAAAAACACAGCACUGUGCAAACACGAAAGUGGACGUAUACGGUGUGACGCCUGCCCGGUGCCGGAAGGUUAAUUGAUGGGGUCAGCGCAAGCGAAGCUCUUGAUCGAAGCCCCGGUAAACGGCGGCCGUAACUAUAACGGUCCUAAGGUAGCGAAAUUCCUUGUCGGGUAAGUUCCGACCUGCACGAAUGGCGUAAUGAUGGCCAGGCUGUCUCCACCCGAGACUCAGUGAAAUUGAACUCGCUGUGAAGAUGCAGUGUACCCGCGGCAAGACGGAAAGACCCCGUGAACCUUUACUAUAGCUUGACACUGAACAUUGAGCCUUGAUGUGUAGGAUAGGUGGGAGGCUUUGAAGUGUGGACGCCAGUCUGCAUGGAGCCGACCUUGAAAUACCACCCUUUAAUGUUUGAUGUUCUAACGUUGACCCGUAAUCCGGGUUGCGGACAGUGUCUGGUGGGUAGUUUGACUGGGGCGGUCUCCUCCUAAAGAGUAACGGAGGAGCACGAAGGUUGGCUAAUCCUGGUCGGACAUCAGGAGGUUAGUGCAAUGGCAUAAGC
rnacentral:rRNA from 1 species